CUUAGGACGAACGCUGGCGGCGUGCCUAAUACAUGCAAGUCGAACGGUCUUUCUAUGGAAGCUUGCUCCACUGAGAAGAUAGUGGCGAACGGGUGAGUAACACGUGGGUAACCUGCCCAUAAGAGGGGGGAUAACAUCCGGAAACGGGUGCUAAUACCGCAUAGUUUUCUUGAUUGCAUGAUCGGGAAAGGAAAGACGGCCUUUGUGCUGUCGCUUAUGGAUGGACCCGCGGCGUAUUAGUUAGUUGGUGAGGUAACGGCUCACCAAGACGAUGAUACGUAGCCGACCUGAGAGGGUGAUCGGCCACAUUGGGACUGAGACACGGCCCAAACUCCUACGGGAGGCAGCAGUAGGGAAUCUUCCGCAAUGGACGAAAGUCUGACGGAGCAACGCCGCGUGAGUGAAGAAAAGGGUUUUCGGAUCGUAAAACUCUGUUGUCAGAGAAGAACAAGUUGGAGAGUAACUGCUCCAGCCUUGACGGUAUCUGACCAGAAAGCCACGGCUAACUACGUGCCAGCCGCAGC
rnacentral:rRNA from 1 species